AAUAUCAUUUCACAGUUACACGAGGUCUCUUGCCCCCCAUUUUAGGUUCACCCUCUCACCACACGGUUUCUCUUCUCAGUCCCGGUGGAACUCUUUUCUGUCACCGACGGUCCAAUCCGACCCCACCAUGAGAUUCGCCGGCCCCUAAAACCUUAAACCCCUAAGCUAUCUUUCCCCUUCGAGCUAUUCUUUCUCUAUAGUUCUCUUGCUCUCCGCGCAUGACGAGUCAGACGGCUAUUGUUUAGCCAUCGACGGCGCAGGCCGACCACAAAUCAAGCUUCCUUCCCCUUUCUCGGUCCUCUCAUUAUCUCUCUCGAUCUCUCGAUGUGCUCUUUCUCUGAAUGGGUGGGCUUGGCUAUGACCCCUUAACCAAUGAUUUCAAAGUGGUGGUGUUCACACCUCGACAUUCUUUUAAAGAGGGUCACCAAAUUGGGAUUUAUAUAGUUUGAGAAACAAUUCAUGGAAAGCAAUAACAAUGCCUAACCUAUUUCAAGAAUUUGAAUAUGCUACUGUUACACCAUCUAUGGGCAUUGGGCAUGUCCAUUAAUGUUAAUAACUUCAUUCAUUGGUCUAUUGGCUAUGAAAAUAGUAAUACAACUGAUGAUGAAGAUGAACUGGAAUUAUUUACAGGGAUAAUUGCUUUUGAUAUAAGUAAGGAGAAAUUUAAUCUUAUAAAGUUACCUCAAUUUGAGAGAGGUAAUGAUGGUGGGGACAUAGCUAAAAUUUUUGGGUUUCUUUCUAUGAUAUAUGUGGAUGAAGACACAGUAAUUCACAUAUGGAUUAUGAAGUAGGCUUGGUAAAUUUUGUUGAAUAAGUUUUUUGAGCAAUGUGAUUCUGUUAGUUUCUUUAUUUUUGACUGGUUAUUGCUGUAGGUAUGACACCAAGUGUAAGGAUUCAAAUUUUAGGUGAAAGAUAUCCUGUGUUUGACUUCACUACUUAUGUUGAGAUUAUUUUCAGGUUAAAUGGGUGACAAUUUCGUAUAUAUGUUUUAAAAAGUGAGUUUAACACUUUUUGAUCUUUCCUCAAAUACGAUCCACCCAACAAGAAAGAAAUCCUCUCAUUGAGUACAACAUGAUUCACCCAAAAAUUGGUUUCGAAGCUCUUAAUUAUGUAAUUGACUAUUGAAUGUUGCCGACGUUUGGGUUCCUCUGCUCCCUAUUGUGGAUGGAUGUGGAUGUCAUAGUCUAGAUUUCUAAACCCAGUGUGAGUCUAGUCCUUGUUUCAGGUUAUAUUGAUGUAUGGACCAUCUUAAGCUAGAAAUGACUUGGAGAGAGGGAGCUCGUGAUUUAGUGAAAUUUAGGAGUUGUUGAUGUGCCUGUACAAGCAUUUUGGAUUAUGCAGAUUGUAAAACAAAAUAAAGAGAUCUUCUUUGAAGAAAUAAAAGAAAUUGGUUGUAUGGACAUGAAUUUAGUUUUACUCAAUCUUUGUAAAUGUAUUGAUUUAAGUUUUUGUUAGGUGUUUAUUUGGAUAUUUUGUAUAAAUAAAUUUUUAUUGUAAUGUUAAUCUGUUAUUGAUAUAAAUUAAUGAAAAGUAUUUAUAAAAUUUUAUCU